AUGAGUGGAGCUUGUGAUGUUUCCAGCGUUUUUUGUUGCCCUGUCUGGUUUCAAACUCCUGGCCUCCAGCAAUCCUUCCACCUUGGCCUCCCAAAGUACUGCAAUUACAGGCACGACCCAUGGAGGCCGUCCUCAGCUUUCAUCUUUGUUUCUUUUCUUUUCUUUUCUUUUUCUUCUUCUUUUUUUUUUUUGAGACAAGGUGCUGCUUUGUUGCCCAGGCUGCACUGCGGUGGCACGAUCCCAGCUCACUGCAGCCUUAACCUCUUGGGUUUAAGUGAUCCUCCCACCUCAGCCUCCCAUGUAGCUGGGGCCACAGACGCACAGCAACACACUCAGCUAAUUUAUUGUCUAUCUUUCUUUCUUUCUCUCUCUCUCUCCCUCUCUUUCUUUUUCUCUCUUCCUCUCUUUCUUUCCUUUCUCUCUCUCCAUUUUCCUUCCUUCCUUUCUUUCCUUCUUUCUCUCUCUCCCUCUUUCUUUUCUUUCUCUUUCUCUCUCUCCCUCUCUUUCUUUUUCUCUUCCUUUCUUUCCUUUCUUUCUUUCUCUCUCCAUAUUCCUUCCUUUCUUUCCUUUCUCUUUCUCUCUCUCCCUUUCUUUCUUUCCUUUUUCUCUGUCUUCCUCUUUCCUCUUUCUCUCUCUCUCCCCCUAUUUUCCUUCCUUCCUUUCUCUCUCUCCCUUUCUCUCUCUCCCUCUUUCUUUCUCUCUUUCCCUCUUUCUUUCUCUCUCCCCCUUUUUCUUUUUCUCUCUUCCUCUGUUUCUUUCCCUCUUUCUUUCCUUUCUCUUUCUCUCUCUCUCCAUCUCUUUCUCUCUUUCUUUCUUUCCUUUUUCUCUCUCUCUCUUUCUCUCUUAAGAUGGAUUCUCCCUAUGUUGCUCAGACUACUCUUAAACUCUCAAGAAGCAAAUCAAAAGUUCACGAUGCCUAAGACCCAAGACUUUCUGUUUUGUUUUGAGACUGAGUCUCGCUCUGUCUCAAAUAAGCCUCCCAUCUUGGCCUCCCAAACUUCUGGGAUUGCAGGUGUGAGCCACAGCGCCUGGCCACAAAAAUCUUAA
rnacentral:lncRNA from 1 species